rnacentral:rRNA from 1 species
AUGUGGGAGGAAUGCUUGCCUCAUAUUGAAUUUGCUUAUAAUCGUUCAUUGCAUUCUACUACUAAGAUGUGCCCUUUUGAAGUUGUGUAUGGUUUCCUACCUCGUGCACCUAUUGAUUUGUUGCCUCUUCCAUCUUCGGAGAAGGUUAAUUUUGAUGCUAAACAACGUGCUGAAUUGAUUUUAAAAAUGCAUGAGUUAACUAAGGAAAACAUUGAGCGCAUGAAUGCUAAAUAUAAACUUGCUGGAGAUAAGGGUAGAAAACAUGUUGCGUUUGCACCUGGAGAUCUUGUUUGGUUACAUUUGCGUAAGGAUAGAUUUCCUGAUUUGCGCAAAUCAAAGUUAAUGCCACGUGCUGAUGGUCCCUUUAAGGUGUUAGAGAAAAUAAAUGAUAAUGCAUAUAAACUUGAGCUGCCUGCAGAUUUUGGGGUUAGUCCCACUUUUAACAUUGCAGAUUUGAAGCCUUAUUUGGGUGAGGAAGAUGAACUUCCGUCGAGGACGACUUCAUUUCAAGAAGGGGAGGAUGAUGAGGACAUCAAUACAAUUGUUACACCCACAGCCCCUGCUGCUAUACAUACUGGACCAAUUACUAGAGCUCAUGCACGCCAACUAAAUUACCAGGAAACACACCCUCGUGGUCAGGUUGAUCAUGCUCCGGCGUGGUCAAUAACCUCUCGGAGUUGGUUUAGCGAUUGCUAA